GUAUUUAUAAACACUCUGAACGUGUGUUUUUGUAUGUGUUAUGUACAUACACAUAUAUAUCCACUUGCUCUGUCCACUGAGAAGACUUUGGAGCAGCUAUUCUCCACAAGAAUGGACCCAAGGGUUCUUUGAGAAACACUGCUUUCAGGUCUGGAGCAGGGGAAGUUUGGUGGGUCUAGGUCAUCUUGUGGCAAAAUAAAUAACUCAGACCUUCUUGGAGGUGUUUCCACUGGCUGAACCAUGUUAUCCUUGCAUAUUAAAAUAACUAUGAUUUUAAUAGAUUAUAACCCACUGAUAAAACAAGAAAGCAGGAGUCCAUGGUGAUAUAAUUAACAAGAUAAUUAUAUCACAGGAUAUUUAAAUAGUUUAGAAGUAUAUCAUCACAAAAUAUUAGUUAGAAAGGAAUUUCACAGUGGAGAAAGAUGGGUGGUAGGUCUCAUGUUAAUCUAGUGAUCAAAGUGAAUGCCAUUAUCAAUGAGACAAAUUAAAAUUAUGUCCCAAUUUUAAUACCAGAAAUGUAUAAGAUCAGGUAAAUCCAGAUUGGAGAACAUUACAAAAUAACUGGCCUAUGAUUGGCAAAGCAUCAAGGUCCUCAAAGUCAAGGAGAAAGUGAAAACCUCUUGCAGCCUAAAGGGGACUAGAAAUUCAUAAAAGUAAACACAACACGUGAAUCUGAAUGCUUAGAUCACUUUGCUAUAAGGACACUACUAGGACAACUGGAGAAACUUACUGUUGUCUACAGAUUAGAGAAUUUUAUUAGUGUUAAUUUCCUGAUGUUGAUAGUUAUAUGAUUAUAUAAAAUAAUGUCCUUUUUUUGCUGGAAACAGAAAAUUUGGGAUUGAGGGACAAUGGGACAUGAUAUCAGCAAUUUAUUCUCAAGUGGUUUAGGAAAAUAAAAGAUUUUGUGCUGUACUUCUACAUUUUUUCUUAGUUUAUGAUUAUUUUUAAAAUAUUACAAGAAAUGCCUCUUGAAUUCAGUGUAAGAAAGUGUGAACAAAUUACUUAAAAUAAAUUUCAGAAGUUAUUCCUAUCAUUUUAUCUAAUGAUUAAUUAAUGCAUCUACAAGUGUUGUCUUCAUACAAAUUUUAUUAAGUUAUCCUCUUGUAUAAACCUAGAAAGAGCAAAUUGGAAAUGUUCCUCUUGAAUAUUUUUAGAACUGGCAAGAAUAUUUCUUCAGGUGAUAGAGAAUCAGAACUAUCUGAAAUUCUCUGGAAGCACAUUUUUAAAAAUGUUUACAUCACAUUUUGAUUGGCCAUAUUUUAAAUAAGAAUUCUCAUUAGUAUUCUUAUUUUCUGAUCAUAAUUGAUCCCACUCUUGAUUAGUUAAUAUAAUUCUUUUAAACAUCAACUAUUUUUCUGUGCUGUGAUAACAAGUGAUAGCUUCAGGAUAUAUAUAUAUAUAUAUAUAUAUAUAUAGGAAUACAGGACUUUUAAUUUAUUACUAAAUGGUCCUAAGAUUCUUAUUCUUUUCCUCCCUCCCUUUCCCACACCUUUGCCUCUCCUCGUCAUCCCCCUUCUUUUCCUCUCCUACUCUCUUUUUCUCAUUCAGGAAUAAGAAAAUGCUAAUUAUUGCUACAAAUCUUCAAUACUGUGCUAGAGGACUAACCCCAAAUAAUAAUUUUGAUGAGAAAAAAGAAAGAAGAAUCGUUGGAAAUGAAGAGUCAUCUGUCAUUAUCUGUAGAUGACAAGAUGAUGUAAAUGGAAAAAUCAUGGAAUUUAAUGAACAAGUGUAUAAGAGCAAGAGACUUAAACUAUUACAAAUAAAGGAUUUAGUUUUAUGAGAAGGGCCACUGUGAAUGAUGCCACUCUAGUUUUAGUCUCUUCUUAUCCAGGUGGAAAAAUUAAUUUUAUAUUGAAAAGCCUGGUUGUUUUCAUAAGAAGUCACCUUGUUUUCUUUAGAAAUAAAGCUUCUAUGGAUUUAUGUCAUUAUUUGGAAGAAGUGUCAUUACAGAAAAUAGAAUUGGGCUGGGAGACAAUCAAUUUGCUGUUCCCCCAAACAUCAAUUUUCAGAUAUUCACUUCACUUUUCAUCUUCUUAUGCAAAAUCGUAACACCAGCAGAUUCACAUAUUCAAAUACAUAAAAAUUUAUAUUCUAUAUUUGCAAUGGAGUUCCAUUCUUUUUUUAUUUGUAUGACCUUCUGACUUAUUGAAAUUAUUAUUAUUGUCUUCAUUACUUUCAUGCAUCAUUGAAUGCUUUUUGAACCAUUGGUCCAAAUUUUCAACUAGGAGUAUUAGCUCAGCAUGAUACUUAAAAUAGAAAAUACUAAAUUCACAAUUAUAAGAAAUAUGUUGCAAAUGGUGACAAAUUCAUCAGCAGAGACAAAAAUACAUUAUGUUAACUGAAGAAUAGGCAAGAAGAAUGGCCUGCAACAACUUUUCAGAAGGUGAUGAUUAUUAAACAUGUAACAAGGCUUCCAUGCAAAUCACAUCAUUUGAUAUUAUAAGUUUCUGAAAUGUUUGUUAACAUAAUCACUUCAUUAAUUUUUUCUUUUGAAGCUUCCAUGUUCUUUGCAGGCCCGUUGAAUAACCACUGUGGACCACCAGAUGUCUGUAAAUGUCACUUGAGGAAGCCCUGAUCUAUAAUACAUAUUGAGAAAGGAGAAUUGAGGCAGCAUUUGGGUUAAUUAAAAUUACACUGAAGUGAAAUAGCUAAGCUAAGAGAAGCCACUCACCACUGUCCUGUCUUCAUGCAUAUACUUCUUUCUGCAUAUUAUUAUUAUUAUUAUUUGAAACAGAAUCUCACUCAGGGUAGAGUGCAGUGGCACAGUCUCGGCUCACUGCAACCUCUGCCUCCUGGGUUCAAGCGAUUCUCGUGCCUCAGCCUCCUGAGUAGCAUGGAUUACAGGCACCUGCCACCAUAACUGGCUAAUUUUUGUAUUUUUAGUAGAAACAGGGUUUCACCAUGUUGGCUAGGCUGGUCUGGAGCUUCUAACUUCAAGUGUUCUGCCCACCUCAGUCUCCCAGCGUGAUGGGAUUAUAGGUGUGGGCCACCAUGCCGGUCCCAUGUAUUUCUGUCUGAGUAGAUGCUCAGUGCCAUUUCCUAGCACUGACCUUGGACUUGAUACUUUCUUCUACAUUAUAUUUAGGGCCUUUUUAUAUGGUGUCAAAGUGUGAAAACAUCCAUGAUGAUGAUGGUGCUUUAGAAAUCAUUGGGUUGUUGGUCCUGACCCUCAUGGGACUUUUUCCCAAUAAAGUCCCUUAGAUUUUGUCUGUUUCUCUAUUUUCAAAAGGACACAUUAAUCCUCAGUUUAAGGGAAAUUUUUUAAAAAUAUUUUCCAAAAAAAUUAACUGUUAACUUUUUUGGUUAUUAUAAGAAAGGAAUCUUUCUGAAUUCAUUUAUUAUGAUAUUUGAUGCUUUUAGAUAAAGAAAGCCAACAAAAAACUUCAAAUUGCAUAGAGACAUAUUCAAACAUGGUGGAGUCCUUAGAACAUUUAUAUAGGCAUGUGGCUUUUGAUUUCUGCAUAUUGAAGGCAUUGGACACUUUAACAGUAUAUUUAUUUGGGUAUGAAAAAAAUCACAUAAAAAUGUAUGUAUGUAUAUGAGUGGAGGGAGAGAAACAGGUAGAGACCUGAGAAACUCCUACUUCAUGAUACUCCAAGGAGGAUUCUCUUUGCUCACCUUAUGUUUUCUUGGCUUUGAAAUGGAAAUAUCUGGUAUUUCCAGCUUGGAUGAAAUCACACAAUUCUAAUGAGUUUUCUUGAUACUUGCUCUAACCUGAUUCAGGUCAGCUUAUUGCUUCUUUCUUGUAGUCAAAAAGCAGAGGAACAGGAGGUAAACCUUCCCUUUUUCAUUAAUGUUUCAGUGAGUGAUCUUAACUCAAGCACUUCUAAUUAAAAUGUAAAGAUCAUUAGCAUGCCCCGUUAAUAGAGGUUUUUCUUUCAACUCAGAAUGCUCCGGAUGGAGGUGCCAGGCACACUCCUACACCCACCGGUGCUGAACAAUUGCUGCUCUUGGCAAGGUUUCAGAACAGCUGGGGGUUUCUGUCUGUUACCUGAGCUGCUGGUGACAACUGCAACUUAUGUCAGGCUCAGGGGCAAGGAAACAGGAGGCAGGGCUGGAGGAGCCAGGAGGAGAAAAAAAAACUGCAAAGGCAGCUUUUCCCUUCUUACUGCUAUCAGUCUCUCAGGGUUGGCAUUGCUGAAUGAGAAAGAGGGAGAUAUAUGCUAAUGCUAAUAAGAAAGGCAUUAAAUAAUAUUUUAAAAUUAUUUACUCAAAAAGAAAAAUAAAUUGAGAUGUAUACUCAUAUGGUACAGAUCAUAUUUUUCCUUUUGGGGUUGAAGAAUUCAAAUAUCUAUGUAAUCCCCAAUCAUGCAAAACAUUUCAAUUUGUGAUAUCUUUUCCUGAAGAUUCAUAUUACUUUUGAUUGAUAUUUAAAUUGAGAUAUUAACUGCUAUUUGAUGGUAAGAAAUUUUAAUUGUAAUGGCUACAUUAUUUCAUUUUGAAUAUGAGAAUUUUGAUUAGUUGAAUCUUUAAAGGCCUAUGAUAUAUGUAUGAGAAUUAAAUGGAGAUUUAACCCAACAGCUUGUAAUACUUAUGGCUUAUUUUAUAUGUAUUGGGCUAAUAAGACUAAAUUGAAGAGAUAUAAUAAAGAACAAGUUAAAACGUAGACAGCUAAGCCAAUGUCCUAUUACAUGGCCUUAAUCUUAGGGACAUUAAUGUGGGGAUUUAAGAUAAAUCAGAAAUAAGAAUUAUGUCCAUUGUGUCCUAGUCACUCUAGUAAUUAUAGAAAACUUUUGUUAAUUUCUUGUUUUUAUUUGCUUCUCUAUGCCAUCAUCUCAACUUCUAACCCAUUUCAAUUAAGUUACAAUAUAAUUAGUGUUUCUAUUAAAAUAUUUGGAGGUAAUAGAAUAAAAAUAGUUUCUUCUAUAAUCAGAGUUAUUGUGUUGCCUUCAUUUGGGUUAUUUGUGAUUUCAAAUUUAGUUAGACUCAGUGGCAAGUGCUCAUCAUAUGCACAUUUAUUUUUAUGCCUUUCAUCUUCUUGAUUAAUCAUGUUUGAACUAUUUGAGGAAGAUAUUUGAGCGUUGACUUUAUACUGUGAUUUUAUAGAAAACUCAUCUUAGAUUUAGAAGGUUCGAAGACUUUGAAAACUCAACUAUACAGUGAUGGGAAGUAGACGACUAUUAUACGCUAGCAUACCUGCAAGAAGAAGGUGCUGGGUUUUAGUCUGCAUCAUAAAUUUAAUUUUCAAUCCACACAUGAAUUGUUAUAACUUAAAGCCAUCAAUAGAUUCAUCUACUUACUUUGGCAGAAAGACCGAGUGGUAGAAGUAGAGUUGAAGUCAAGGAAGAAACAUUAUGAAUGACUGUCUUUUAUAAUAAAUACAGAUACUGCUCAGCUUUUCCUUUAGAUAAAAUUAUUGGAAUAUAUUGGGAUAGGCCCAAUUGUUACUUUUUUUUCCCUAAUAGAGAUUAUUUGUUACCUAUAAAUCAAUGGAUUCAAUAGUCAUAGUUUUAUAAUAGUUUAUGAUUUUCAUGUAAGCAUUUACAAAUAAAAAAUAGAUCAUAUGUUUCAUUGUUAAAAUGUCUCAUAUACAAAUACUUACUCAUUUAAAAAUUAUGUGAGCAUCUAAAAUGACCAAGGAAUUAACUCUUAGAUAUUGAGAAUUCACCCAGUAAGCCAAACGUAAAUGUUCUGUGAAAGAAGAGUGAUAUGGUUUGGUUCUGUGUCCCUACCCAAAUCUCAUAUUGUAGCCUCCAUAAUUCCCACAUGUUGUAGGAGAGACCUGGUAGGAGAUAACUGAAUCAUGGGGGGCAGAUCUUUCCUGUGCUGUUUUUGUGGUAGUGAAUAAGUCUCAUGAGACCUGAUGGUUUUAUAAGAAGGAGUUUUCCCACACAAGUUCUUUUUGCCUGUGGCCAUCCAUGUAAGACGUCACUUGCUCCUCCUUGCUUUCCACCAUGAUUGUGAGGCCUUCCCAGUCAUGUGGAACUGUAAGUUUAUUAAACCUCUUUCCCUUGUAAAUUGCCCAGUCUCAGGUAUGUCUCUAUCAGCAGUGUGAAAACGGACUAACACAAAAACCUUGGGAAAAACAAAUUGUCAAUACAUUCCAAGUUGAGCUUAUCAGAGCCCACAAAACUAUAACCCAUUAGAACAGUGAUUUGGAAACUUGAGUGGGCAUCAGAAUCACCUGGACAGCUCAUUGAAUUCAUAUUGCUGCACUCCACCCUCAGAGUUUCUAACAAGUUCCCAGGUGAUGCUUAUGCCGCUGUAUUGGGACCACAUUUUUGAGAACCACUGCAUUAGAUGAUGUCAAUAAAAAUGUUUUAAACAAUUUCUUUGCCUUAUUUUAGAUUCCAAUUGGGCUAAGAUUUUAAUUUUUUCCUGUGAUGCUCACCAGAAAAAAUGACCUUAACAUUUUGUAAUGUCACUACAAGAUGCUGUCUACAAUUAUUUUCACACUUAUUUGGGUUAUAGAUACAUGUCAACCAACAUGCAUGACAUAUAUCUGAUACAUAUAUUUUUAUAAUGAUGUAGUAUCUAUAUCUAUAUCUAUCAUCUAUCUAAGUACAUGUUUAUCUCUAUCAUCUAUCAAAAUAUUAAUUUAUGCUGGAUUUGUUUGAAUUCCAUUAAACUCCUAAAUAGCUUAGUAAUUUUGAAUUUGAAGUUGGGGAUGGUGGUUUGGAAAAGGUUACAAGUUGGUGGAAAAUCUCUAAGGAUUUAAUACCACAGUUCUCUCAAAUUGACCUUAGUGACUCAUCAUUGUCUUUGCAGAGAAAAUUAGUAAAAAAAAAAAAUCAUAGGAGAUCUUAAAAUAUCAAAUGUCUUAAACGAUUCUAUCAUUUUAUGAAAGUGCUUCAUCAGUGAGAUAUUCUAAUCUCUGAGAUUAAUGAUAUUGUAAAAAUAUAAAACUGCAAGUAUAUGUGAAUAGUUACUUUGGAUUGACUUAUGUAUAUAUUUUGUUUCCUUUCCUUUAGAUUACAUACUUUCUCAUCUCCUCAAUCCUAACAGAAUUUUAAACAUAUAGUCAAUAGCAUAAUCCUAAUGUCUGUAAAACUCUGCCUGGCAACUAGGUUGAUGGGAGCAGAUGUUAGGCAAAUAACUGUGGAGCAUCUAUGUGAACUGCCCGCUGUUCCUUGCUUGAGCUCAUACAAGAACUUGUACUCUUUCUCCUUCUUCAGCUCCCACUUGCCUGCACUUGAUGAGAGAUUUAAAAAUCAGGGAGCAUUAUAAGGGGCAGGCUUUUUAGUGGAGGUGUUCCCCUCCCUCCCCUCAGGAGUCUGAGUGACUGCUCUCAGUGGGUGGAGAAUGCCCUGAAUGUGGCCAUACCACCUGCCUCUAUUGCCUUACCUCCACAUCUCCUGUUAUCUUCAGACAAGUUAGGUAAAUAGUUGAGGCUCCAAGUAUUUUUUGGAAGGUUUCCUCUGAUAUUUUUCCAACACAGUUUUGACAUUUGGGGUGUGGCAGAUUAGCAUGUAUUUCUGAAAGUUUAGCAGUUAUGUCUACUAAUAAAUUUUAAAAUCUUUAUUUGAUUGGAAACUACAAGGGUAUUAUGGAAGUGGAAUUAUAGUUGUAUACAUAAAGUGUUGAAGUAUAUUAAGAGGUGGAGGUCAUAUUCACAGGGACUCCAAAAAAGAGUCAAAACAAAAGGUGACACAUGAGCAGGUUGAAACAUCCAUGGGUAAUUACAUAUAGCUAUACAUGUAAAACUUUCAAACAGUAACAUUAUGUAAUUGUAUAUGAAGGCAUUCAGUAUAUAUUUCUCUGAAACUUUCUUUUUUGACUUAAAAUUUUAUCCUGAACAUUUGUCCAUUUUGGUACAUACAGAUGUACUUUGUUCAUUUUAACAGUGAUCUGAUUAUCUGUUUCAUGGUUAAAUUCUGAUUGAUUUAACCAAUAUCCUGUUAAUGGACUUCUACCUCUCCGUUUUACUGCUCUAGCCAAUGAUAUUGCAAUGAAAAUGUGUGUGUGUGUGUGUGUGUGUGUGUUUGUGAAUAUGUGUGUAUACAUGUAGGAGUGUUUUUAUAAGAUGGAUCCUCAAAACUAAAAUUUCUCCGUUGAUAUGUAUGCAUGCAUAUUUGAAAUUUUGAGUUAUUGUUCUAAUUGUCCUUUAAAAUCUUUUUACCAGUCUCACCAACAUUGAAAGUGAAUUUUUUACAACAUCAAGAAUAAUUUUUUUCACUCCCUCAGCUGUUAAUAAGAUAUUAUGAUAAAUGAUGACUGGUAUAGAAUAGCUAUUCCAGUUUAUAUUCAUCUGAUCAAUAUUGAGGUUUUCAUCUCAUGUUUAUUAGUUACUUGCUUUUCGUCCAUAAAUUUCCUCCUUGUACCUGUUGAUUAUAACAAUUCUUUUCCUAAAUAGUAUUCUAACACUUGUAUGGUUUUAUUUUACGCAUUCACAUCACUAAACCCCUGGAAUCUUGGUUUGAAUAAGGGAGGAAGCAGGAAUCUAAGUUUAUUUAUUUUCAAAAAAAAUAGCAAAUUCUUCAAAUACUAUUUAUGGACUAAAUAAUUAGCGUAAUGAUUUGAAUUGCUACUUUCACAACAUAAAAUAUUAUCUUAUGCCUGGGAAGUAUCUGAACAAGAAACUUCAUUGUUGGCCAAUCUUUUUCCUGCCAUGUAUUGUAAGGAAUGCAAAUAACCUACAGAAGAAACAGCAUGUGCAAAGACCUAGAGGCAUCAGUAAUGUGCUUUGGAAAAUUUGGAAUUUUUAGCGUAGCUGGAACUUUAAGUUUAGGAAAAAGAUUACAAACAUUAUUAGAAAGUCCAUAACAAAAUCAAUGAAAAACAUACCGUAAUUAAAAUACAACUCUGCAACAGAAGCAUGACAUUUAUUUAUUCUGAUUUGUUUUAGAUAAUCUAUACCAGGGACCUAUUUCAGCCCUUUCUUAUUUUUUAUAGAAGGUCAAUAUGUUUAAGUACAGUGCUUUAAGAAGCCUUUCCCUUUUACUCAUUAUUAUUAUUAGCAUUUUAAAGUAAGCAAUGUUAUCAUUUAUAUUUCUAUAGUUUCCAUCUUUCUUCUGGGAAGAGGAAAUGCUGAGGGAAAAAAAUGCACUGAGAGCUCAGUAUUUGCAUCAACUCUUCCCAAAUUUCUGUUUUAAUUUUCUGCUGAGAAAACUCUUUUCAAACUUCUCUUUUCCUCUCUCUCUCUCUCUCUCUUUUUUUUUUUUUUUUUUUUUGUCCAAACAGAACCUAAACAUAAGAUUACGUGACAGUGGGAGGUAGGGCAUACAAGCAGACAGACUGUGUAUAUUAGAGUUUUUGUUACUAUUUUUUUCAUCUUCAAUGUUGAUUUUUUUGUAAGGCAAAUACAGUGUCCUCUGUGCUGAAACAUAUCCAAAUGUUGCCUAUUUUUAUUAGAUCUUUCAAUUAUGGUUAUGAACUCUAAUUCAAGGUAAAUAAACACCCAUAAAUAAAUCUAGGCACUUAUAGUCAACUCAUUUUCACAAAGGCCUCAAGAACAUACACUGGGGGAAAGGACAAUAUAUUAAAUAAAUGGUGCAGGAAAAAUUGGUUAUUCAUCUGUAGAAGAACAAAAGUACAUCCGUAUCUUUCACCAUAUGCAAAAGUUAAGUGAAAAUGGACUAAAGUCUUAAAUCUAAGACCUGAAACUAUGAAAAUACUAGAAGAAAACACUGGGGAAGCACUCCAGGACAUUAGUUUGGGCAGAGAUUUCUUGCAUAAGACCUCAAAAAUACAGGCAACCAAAGCAAAAAUGGACAAAUGGGAUCACAACAAGUUAAAAAGCUUUUGCACAAAAAAGGAAACAAUCAACGAAAUGAAGAGACAACUUACCGAAUGGGAUAAAAUGUUUUCAAACUAUUCAUAUGACAAGGGAUUAAUAACCAGAAUACACAAGGAGCUUGAACUCCUCAAUCAGAAAAAAACACAAAUAAUUCAAUUAAAAUAGGGGCGAAAGAUCUAAGUAGACAUUUCUCAAAAGAAGUUAUACAAAUGGCAUAUAGGUAUAUAAAAAAUUAUCAGCAUCACUAAUCAUCAGAGAAUACAAAUGAAAACUACAAUGAACUAUCAUCUUACUCCAGUUGAAAUGACUUUUAUCCAAAAGACAGACAAUAAGAAAUGCUGGUAAGGAUGUGAAGCAAAGGAAACCCCUGUACAUUGUUGGUGGGAAUGUACAUAGAACAGCCAUUAUGGAAAACAAUAUGGAGGGUCCUCACAAAAACUAAAAAUAGAAAUACCAUGUGAUCCAGCAAUCCCACUGCUGGGUAUAUAUCUAAAAGAAAGAAAAUCAAGACAUUGAAGCGAUAUCUAUGUGCCCAUGUUUAUUGUAGUGCCAUUUACAAUAGCCAAGAUAUGGAAUUCACCUAAGUGUCCGUUAACAGAUAAGUGAAUGAAGAAAAUGUGAUAUAUAUACACACAAUGGAAUAUUAUCCAGCUAUAAAAAGAAUGAAAUCCUAUCAUUUGCCACAAUGUGGAUGGAACUGGGGGAUAUUAUGUUAAGUGAAAUAAGCCAGACACAGAAAGACAAAUAUUGCAUAUUCUUACUCAUAUGUGGGAGCUAAAUAAAAAGAGAAAAAAAAUAUCAUGGAGACAGAGAGUAGAAUGAUGUUUACCAGAAGCUGGGAAGGAGGGAAUAGAGAGAGACUGGUUAAUGGGUACAAAAAUAUAGUUAGAUAGAAGGAAUAAGAUUCAGUAUUUGGUACCACAAUAAGGUGACUAUAGUUAACAAUAAUGUAUGUGUAUUUCAAAAUAACCAGAAGAGUGGAAUUGGAAUGUUCCUAACACAAAGAAAUAAUACAUGCUUGACAUGAUGGAUACUGUAAUUACCCUGAUUUGAUCAUUACACAUUGUAUGCUUGUAUCAAAAUAUUGCAUUUGCCGUAUAAAUAUGUACAACUAUUAUUUAAUUAAAAAAAAACAAAAAACCCAAUUACACUUUUAUGUGGUUAGAAUACUGUCUCUUUUUAUUCUCUUUUCCCAUUUCCUGCCUAUCAUGUAUUCAGAUAGCUGCAGGCAAGAAAAACAUCUUCAAAAGUUAUUUUGACUGAAAUUAGCAUCAUUUUUAAGAUUUAAUCAUUAAGAUGUAAUUAAAGUGCCAUCAUGUGUACUUUUAAAUUGCUGAUUGAAAUCCACGUCUCAAUGUAACCUUUUUCUAAACAUCAUACCUCUCUAUACCAAACCCAAAAGCCCCACAUUGUUUUAGAUUUACUAAUACAAUCAACAUACUAUUCUACAACUCCAAAAUAUUCAUUGAAAGCAAUUUAAUCCUUGUUGUUGUUGUUGUUGAAUGGUUGCAUGUUUAAGGGUAUUUCUUUUCUAAUAUUGCGUGCAGAUAUUGUACUGAAACUAUGAGAAAAUAGGGCAAGGAGUGUAAGAGAAUGCUGUUUAUAAUGAUUUGUGGCACUCAGAGCCUUACAUUGGGAUAUAAUGCUAAAUUGACUUUUGCAGAAAUACACAACUUGUUGUGAAGCUUUGGACAUUUUCCAUAACCAGUGGUGCCAGAUCCUGGAGGGGCUGGGCAGUCUGGGCAAAGACAAAGUAAACAAGUCAGUAGAAAAAACAAUGAUUAGAAAGACUGACCUCUGAACCAUAACAUCUCUGAGCUCCCAAAAAGGUCAACCUAAGUUUGGCAAAUACUUCAAUCCUCCUGGUGACAUAUAACCUUGGAUGUUGAUCACUCAAACUUUUAUUGUUGUUUAUAUCUAGAAGCGCAAGUUCUGGGAGGAUGCCAAAAGUUUUGUGGUUAUGAUGUGUGGGGUAUAUUAGUUGGCAUUGCUGGCUUGGGAAAUCUAUUGUUCUGAAGUGGAAAACCUGCUUGUUUAACAUUCUCUCUUCCCAUUCUGGAAAAAAAAGUGUGACUAAUUUUUUUCCAGAAACUAUAUAUAUAUAUAUUUUUUUUUUUUUCUAGUAGACUUGGAAAGGAAAUCAGAGAGUGGUUCUCUCAGUACUGAGGUGCCCAGACAAGACAAUGGCACAGUUGAAAUAAAAAACUGCAGAAAGACUGAUGACAAUCACUUACUUAAGCACCGAAUACUGGAGUUGUAGCUUAGGUUGAAGGUUUGAAGGUGUCUGACACUGCCUUUUUUACCUUUAUUUUUAUUAAGAGAAGGCAAAUAGGCUGUGAUGUUUCUUUUUUUCUAAAGAAGUAUUAGAACCUUGUUAAUUAUGGUAGAGUGAACAUGGGCAGGAAAAGGAAAAUAUAAUUUUAAGUAUAAUGGUGCAUGCUGGAAACACAGAUUGGCAAGCAUAUGGGAUUCUGGCAUCUGGACAGAAGCCUUCAUUACCACCUGCUUCUCAGAGGUUACUUUGGCAAUUUUUGCAGCAAUUCCAGUGAUUCACAGGUCUGGGCUAACAAUUUUUAGCAAGCAGCUAAAGAGGGCACAGGAACAUAGAGGCAGUUACUCAGAGCUUCUGUCCACACAUUGGUUUCAUCUUCCUGGGUAUUAUGUCACUUUAAGAUAAUCUAUGUGCCACUAUUUCAUUGUGAUAGCAGCAGAUGUUACUUCAUGCUAAUAUUUUUUACCUGCUUUAUUCACCAGGUGACACUCAGUUUUACCUUGGGAAUGAAUUAUCUCUUCUGGUUCCAUGAGAUGUGAGGAAUAUGUGAAAAGACUUGAGUUCUUGUGUGUUCUGAAGUGUGAAGACCUAACUGGUUACCUCCAGCUCUCCUUGACUUUCUCAUUCUUCCUAAUGUUCCUGGGAAUUUUAGAAAUUCCUGCAUGUUUUCAAUUCUGAAUAGUGCCGCAAUAAACAUAUGUGUGCAUGUGUCUUUAUAGCAGCAUGAUUUAUAAUCCUUUGGGUAUAUACCCAGUAAUGGGAUGGCUGGGUCAAAUAGUAUUUCUAGUUCUAGAUCCUUGAGGAAUCGCCACACUGUCUUCCACAAUGGUUGAACUAGUUUACAGUCCCACCAACAGUGUAAAAGUGUUCCUAUUUCUCCACAUCCUCUCCAGCACCUGUUGUUCCCUGACUUUUUAAUGAUCGCCAUUCUAACUGGUGUGAGAUGGUAUCUCAUUGUGGUUUUGAUUUGCAUUUCUCUGAUGGCCAGUGAUGAUGAGCAUUUUUUCAUGUGUCUUUUGGCUACAUAAAUGUCUUCUUUUGAGAAGUGUCUGUUCAUAUCCUUUGCCCACUUGUUGAUAGGGCUGUUUGUUUUUUUCUUGUAAAUUUGUUUGAGUUCUUUGUAGAUUCUGGAUAUUAGCCCUUUGUCAGAUGAGUAGAUUGCAAAAAUUUUCUCCCAUUCUGUAGGUUGCCUGUUCACUCUGAUGGUAGUUUCUUUUGCAACCCAAAUGUCCAACAAUGAUAGACUGGAUUAAGAAAAUGUGGCACAUAUGCACCAUGGAAUACUAUGCAGCCAUAAAGAAUGAUGAGUUCGUGUCCUUUGUAGGGACAUGGAUGAAGCUGGAAACCAUCAUUCUCAGCAAACUAUUGCAAGGACAAAAAAACCAAACACCGCAUGUUCUCACUCAUAGGUGGGAAUUGAACAAUGAGAACACAUGGACACAGGAAGGGGAACAUCACACACUGGAGCCUGUUGUGGGGUGGGGGGAGCGGGUAGAGAUAGCAUUAGGAGAUAUACCUAAUGUAAAUGAUGAGUUAAUGGGUGCAGCAUACCAACAUGGCACAUGUAUACAUAUGUAACAAACCUGCACAUUGUGCACAUGUACCCUAAAACUUAAAGUAUAAUAAAAAAGUUUUAAAAAAAGAAAUUUAUAAAUGUGACUAAAUCCAGCUAAUGGAUUGAAAAAAAGAAUAAGGUUUCAAAAAAAAAAAAAAGAAAGAUAUUCCUGCAUGUUUUCUAGUAACUAGGGUGGUGUCAUAUAAUAUUCUACUAAAAACUCAUGUGAACAGUCAUUUAACUCAGGACCACUAUGGUUAAUUAUAAAGUAAAAUAUUGACUAGCAUAAUGCAUUUUAGAUUAAAACUUUAUAACAAAUUUUUAUUAUCAAAUACUACUUGUUGAGUAUUUAUAAUGGGUCAGAUAAUGGAAUAAACAUUUUAAAUGUAAAAGAUUGUUAAUACAAAGAUGUAAAUGGAAGAGCUUGUGGGUGAGAAUAAAAAUGGUACAGUCCUCUCAGAAGGGCCAUUUGUUGGUGUUAUCAGCAUCCUAAAUGCAUGUGUCCUGUAAUGGCUCACCUCUUCCUUGUUGCUUUACUAGAACUACAUUCUAUCUAUGCUGUAGAAAUAUUACCAUAUACACAUAAGGCUGUAUAUGGUAAUUGUAAGAUUGUUUGUAAUAAAUAAAAAUCAAAAGCAACCUAAAUGUCAAUUAAUAGGAAAACUGUUAUGUAUGUUUUGGAAAUGCCAUACAUUUCCAAAAUAUCAUAUGGAUAUGAUAUGGAAUAUCAUAGAACGAUUUUGAAAUGUGAGACAGAUCUCUAAGGACUGAUGCGGAAAAAUGUUCAUGGCCAACUUUUUAAGUUUAAAAAACACACCCUUAUUUUUGAAGUGUAUGUAGAGCAUAUUCCUAUGUUUUUGUUAAAGAAACCCUCAUAUAUAUAUAUAUAUAUAUAUAUAUAUAUAUAUAUAUAUAUAUAUAAAAUUAAAUCUGUAAGUGCAUGUAAGUCAUGUAUUAUGAACUGAGUGAAUAUUUGUGUCUCUCCAAAAUUUAUAUGUUGAAGACCUAACCCCCUUUGGGAGAUAAUUAGGGUUAGAUGAGAUCAUGAGGAUGGAGUCCCUUGAUGGGAUUAGGGCCCCUAUAAGAAAAGGAUGAGACUAGAGCUCUCUCUUUCUAUCAUAUGAGGGAAGCAAGAAGGCAGCCUUCUGCAAGCCAGGAAGAGAGCCUUUAUCAGAAUUCAACCAUGCUGGCACCCUGCCUUCAGAACUGUGAGAAAUAAAUGAGUGUUGUUUAAGCUACCCAGUCUAUAGUUUUUUUUAAUAGCAACCUGAGCUGAUGAAGACAAUAUAGGAUUCCGGAUAGACUCUAUUGCAUGACUAUCUGUAAGAUGAGGUGGGAAGAGGGAGAAAUUCUCCCUUUUCCAGCAUACACUUCUUUAUUGUUUGAAUAUUUGUCAAGUACACAUUACUUUUAUAGUUGAAGAUUGGGAGGAGGGAAGGAGGGGAGGAAAGAAGGAAGGAAGAAAGGAAGAAAGAAAAAAGGAAAACUACCACUCUGAAGGCCCAAAGUCCACAUUGCUUUUUCAUGAAUUAUUCUGUUUACCAUUUGCAGAAUAUUAAGUUACCAAUUCUAAAGCCACUUCCUCCUUGGAUGACCUUAAGGGGAAAAAAGAAAAAAGAUACCCUCACAUCCUCAGCUCCUCCUAUAAAAUAAAUGGGCUUUACAGAAGAGACUAUUAUGUUUUGUGAAGUAUUUUCAAAUAUAUCGUUGAAGGAAACUUAAACAGAAUAUUAAGUUGGAAUUGGAUUGCAUUCCCCUUUGAAGGAUUAGGUUCUAAAGUCAUGCCUUUCCUGUCUACUAUGUCCUUUUUUGUUUUCUUCUACAUUAGAACCUAGUUGGAGUCCUCUAACGUGCUUAUUUUUCUAUUAAGCAGAGCCAUCAGAGUUCACCUGUUCCCUAUUGUCUCAAAGUGUUUGCCCUUCAUUUUUCCUUUAGACUAUAUAUAGACUGUUUAAUUUUGGUUUGGAUCUUUAGAGAAAUUCCAAGAGACACUCUUGGUUCUAAAACAUAUAGAGAGGCUGGGUCUUCAGAAGUUUUCUCGUGGUUUUGGUGAAGGCUAUAAAUGAAUGAUUUAUUUAUAGAUAAAUAAAUCCAUCCAAGAUGGUUUGCAGAUUGAUCACAUGAAAAGUUGAAAGAAAGAAAAACAAAUCACAAUAUCAGACCUUAACUAACUCAAGUCCACAAAUUGCAAUUUUGAGGGGAUCGUGUAUAAAAAUCUCUUUUAAGCAAAAUUGCUCAAGUAAUUCUUGUGUAUCUUACUGAAGACUAAUAGUUGGAAAUAAAUUAUCUGGUAUUGAUCACAAAAGCCCAUGAAUGAGACCACAAAGGCAAAUAUUUCUGACUUUCUGGUGAAGCUCAUAUUGGCAUGCAAGCUUUGUCCAUAAAAUGUGUCCCUUGCUUAUGAUAGGAUGUAGGGGUUAUGAGUAAGACAAAUGCCAGAUGUGGGGAAGGAUGUUCAAGUGUUGCAAUGGGAGAGAAAGUUUUGGCUUAAGAAAAUCUAUAGAGUACCCUUCUCUCAAACAGAGGUACCAAUAUUAUCUGUUCUCAUACUUUGGUGAGCAUCAUAAGACUAAUCACAUUUUAUAAAUUCUGUGAGUCAGAUGUGCCCCUUUCUUUGGGCUCUCAGAGAUCUCAGGCUGUUGCAGGGAUUUCUGUUAGUGGUUUUGAACAGCUCUUAAACAAAAAUCAGGUUCCCUGAUUCUAAGUAAUUUUUAUCUGUAAUGGAUUAUUAGAGCUACAAAGAAAUGCUCAACAAAACCUCCUAUCCUUAGGGAUUUACAAAUAGUGGAAGUGGUAUAAGAUGGUGAAUGUCAGAAAAAGAAAUUGUGGUUUAUUUAUUACAGUAAACCUCAAAUUCAUUUUCAGUUAUCAAAAAACUACAGAGGAAGAGUCUAUGUCAUAUAAACAGAUAUUUAUUUUUCUAUUUUAAAAAGUUGUUUUAGGGAAAAUUCCAAACAUACUCAAAAGUUGAGAGAAUAAUGCCAUGAAGUUGAGUACCUGUUACCCAACUUCAUUAAUUAACAACACUCUGUCAUUUGUUUCCAUUUUUGCCCAAUUUUUUUUUUUGGAGUAUUUUAAGGAAACCCCAACAUAAUAUUGCCUUACCCAUAAAUAUUUCACUGUAAAAAAGACAUUGAAAACAAAGAUUAACCAAAAAAUAUGACUGUAUAUACAUAACAAAGUUUCAUCUACUGACUUAUUAUUUGAAACCUCAAAUUGUUUUAUAUUUUAUAUGUUGCCUCUACUUUAAAGUGAACAACAUAAGAUUAUCAUAAGAACCAUUAAUAAAAUAAGCUCUAAGAUAAUUUGUAAACUAAUAGAUGUUAAAGCCUCUUAAAAAGCAAAAUUAUACUCUAUAAAUGUUUACUUUUUAAACAGUUGUUUGUUUUUAAAAAAAUAAUACAGUCAUGACACAACAUACACAUUUUUAAAUUACUGCUGUUCAUUAGCCAAGAAAUAGUCAAGAACAUUCAAAAUAAUUUUAAAUAUUUGCUUAUACUAUCCAUAAUCAAGAAAAAUAUAGAGUUAUCCAUAAGAUAAUUACAUUCAUUUAUUUUUUGUAAUUCUCUUACCCAGUAAAGUCCUCAAAAAUAUGAAAGGUGCUUAUUGGGUUUCAUCCACUGAAUUGUAGUUCUAAUUAAUAAUGCAUUAACAAUCAGUUCAGUACUGAAAACUCUGUUUCAAAGUAGAUGCUGACUAUUGUGUUUCUCAUUCAUCUACUCAUUUAGUUUAGAGAAGACUGACAGACUCAGCAACCCACUUGCAAAUAUUGGUACUUUCUUGUUUUUUCCCAUACUUAAAUGCAGUUCUCAAAUGCUGACUUGUUCCAAGUCUUCUAGCCUGCAGUGAUGACUUUGACCAUUUGGAUUUAAAUAAAGCUGCUUCAACUCCCAUAAUGAGACUAGGAAACCCUGUGAGAAAUUCCUUUUCCAUCUCAAUAUUUCAGGGGAUCUUUGUGGGAUUAAAAUUCAUUAUUAUGUCCUCUUGUUCUACUUCUCUGUGUCUACUGAGCUCCCAACUUUUGAGCAUUCUGUUAUUUUGCUGCCUACCAUUAUCCCAUACUGGAUACUGUCCAGAUCGUUUCACCUUCCAAAGGACCAUUCUCACAAGACUGCAUGAUCAGGCAACUUUUACUGGUGUUUUGGGAGUAAUUCAAGAAUAAUUAUUUUAUAACUGCCAUGAUUGCCUUUGGCACAUCCCUGUCCCCUGCACACCUACAGAUGGCCAGCUCCACCCACAGAUGGCCGUGGCAUUCAGUUACUUUGCUGGGCAUUUCCCUCUCCCUCUCUUGCCUAGAUCCUUUAUUGUGUCCCUGCCCUUGAAACUUAAAUUUCUUACCUUCUCUGCUGAAUCAUUCAGUUCUCUUUGACUAACUUAUCUGAUUGAGAGACUGUGCCUGAGUGCUUCACCUUUCGUAUUUGGAAAACAGUUUUUCUAAACCCACAGCAUAUCAUAGGGAGAAAAACAUGUCAUUCUCCCAGGAGAUGGGGACUCUAGUCAGGUGCAGCUCAGGUGCACCUUUACAUGGCAGUUUUUGCCUUCUUGGCUACAGAUAUUCUCAUCUUUAUUUUUCUCUCUUCUCUCUCCCUUCUUUAUUCAUCUCUCUCUUUAUCAAACCACUCAUCCAUAUACACAGUAUAACUAUAUGUUUGAGUAAGGGCAAACUCACAUACACAUAACCCUUCCUUGACUGUUCCUGAGCUCGCUUCUCCAGAAAGCACAUAGGAAAAUAUGGUGUGGGCAAGUUAGGCUUCCUUGUAAAUGUGGGAAAAUUCUUGUAUGGGUUGCUUCCCACAUAUGCCCCUCUGGAUGAUAAAGUAGAUGGAUUCUAUGAAAAUUGUUUCAUUGCUGGGAAGCCAGUAAAUUUUCAGAAGCCUUCACAGGAUGAUAGAGUCUGGAGACAGAGCAACAGAGAGAACCCAAAACAGACAUCCCUUUACAACAUGACCACUUUACUUUUGCUUUGUUUACAUAUUCUAAGACUGUAAGCUUAUGUUUUUGUUAGCGAGCCAACUUAAUUUUUUAAUAGUCUUAUCAAAAUUUGAUUCUACAGCAUCCACUCAUUGGCUUUGGGUCUAUUCUCUGGAGUCUUACAAAAUAAGUUUAUUCAUUCUUUCAAAGAACAGCCUUUCAAAUAUUUGAAAACAAUUCUAAUUUCCCCAUAAAGUCAUCUCUUCUCAGGCUAAAUAUCUUUUGUUUCUUCAACAAUUCCUUCUAUUUUGUAUCUUCCAGACCCCUUACCUUCCCUAUUGUAUUACUUUGGAGUCAUUCCAUUUUGUCACUAUACACUCUCAAAAUGCCUUAUCUAGCAGAAUAACUUGUACAAAACAGAUGGAUAAAUGCCGAGAGAAUUUAAUUUAACCAAACAUCAUACUAUAUCCAGUGCUGGGUCCAUCUUUCAUCUGGACAUUACACUUUUAUUAAUACAACAUAAGAUUGCAUUAGCUUUAUUAUAAAUCACAUUGACUUAUAAUGUAAUAUCUCCUGACAUUUUUCUUAUAAUCUUACAUUCCUUCGUUUGCAUUUGGUUAUCUGAUUUCCUGAAUCUAAAUGCAAAAAUUUAAGUUUAUGCUUAUAUAUUUCAUUUUGUUGGCUUUAUCCCAUCUUUUCACCCUUUCAAAACCUCAGAAUUUCAAUCUCAUUAUCAAAAAUAUCAGCUUUUCCAACAUUAAUUGAGUCAUAUAUAAAUGCAUUGGGUUUAGGUUUACCUUUUGUCUCUAUCCAAGGGUUUGAUUGUUAAGGUAAAAGUUCAUUGCAGUUAUGGACUUGUUACUCUUUCUUUGCUUCUGGCUCUGGCUGGCAUUUUAGGACCACAUGCCUUUUGGGAAGAUUGCAGGAUAUGUAUCAGAUCUGAUCAUACACAAGCAUCGUCAGCCACCAUGUGGCAUCCGUGGAGUUGUCCUCCCAGCUUCCCACCUCUGUGUGUCUUUUAAGCAUCCACAUACACAGAUUCUCACUUCUUCUGUCACUCAGUACCCCGAAGAGCACGGCCACUGCCAUCUGUUUCCAGGCACCAGGCCUGGAUGUUGCUGUGGUUGAAGCCUAUAAUUUUCCCAUGCUGUGGUCUCUCCCAGGCUCUCCUGCUACUGCUAUUUCCCUGAAUCACCCAGGGUGCCAAAGCUCUGAGUGUUCAGCAGCAAAGUAGAGGGAGAAUAUCGGCUUCUAAUUUGAGUGUUUUGUGUACCCUCUCAUUUGACAAUAUUUUUGUAAAAAUUGCUUGUAUUAGUUUUUGUUUUUCAUUGUGAUAAUGCUGUCCCACAGACAAUACCAACAUAUGUGUGUUUUACAAAAAUCAGCAUUUAAUUUUGACGAUGGAUUUAUGGAUUGGCUAUGGCUCUGCUGGACUCGGGUGGAUGGACUGAGCUUGUAGGCUGCAGGUUGCAUUCAGAUUAAUCCAUAAAUCAUCUACUUCGGCUUCAACAGUUACUUGGGGAGCACCUGUGGGCAUCUUUCCUCAACGCCCGGACUACAAAUCUCUAACACGGUCCUUACAUAAGAGUCCUCAACUACAGUGAGAGGGGCCAGAGCUGAGACUGGGCAUCUUGGGAUCUGUUGUGGAAUGGACACUGGCUUUAGGGGCUGCUUUCUGGCUUUAAAAAUAUUGCACUGGAAUAGAACCAAGGAUCAAAUAUCUGGGACAUGAUAUCUUGAGUAAAACAGGAAAUGUCUGCUACAGAGACAAACUGAAGUUUGUGUAUAUCGUGCUGAUUCAGAAGAGAAUGAAGGCAUUUGUCAAGAGAUAAUGUCAGACUAAUCAGACAUGUUCCAAUCGAUUAAUGCAUUUGGAGGAUUUCCAAAUAUUUGCUGAUCUAAGGACGGUGAGGUAUAUGAUGGGAAACAAAUCUGAGAAAAGAAGGAUGGUAGAUGCUUUCCCAUUGUGACCUGUGAUCAUUUUGGUAAGAACACUUUACUCAAUUAAGAGGCGAUCAAGUGAUUCCAGGCCUGCUGCUAAAUAAUUAUGAGAUGAUAUUUGGAAAUAUGUAUUUCUCCUUUACCUCCUGAAGCCACAGGUAUGUGCCUGAGGUUCUCAACAAAUGGCUGAUUAUCUCUCAGAAUAUUCAGUUGUCUGGUAGCUGGCACUAAUAGCUCAGAAUAAGCUAUAUUUAACUUCAGGAUCCAUCUGGACUCUUGGCCACUAGUGGUAGGUAAUACUAGUUGCCGAAUUCAGUUUCUCUGAGCCUGUGAAAACUGCCUGAUUUUAUUUCAAAUUCAUUUUGCAUCCUGUGGGAUGGAUUUGAGAUCAGGGCAAAAUAUUCAACCUUAUUUUUGUUAAUCUUGCCCCAAAUAUGAUCCAGAUUAACCUUUCUUAACACAAAUUUGCAUUUUUUACAAAUAUCAUUUUUAGUGAAAUUAAAAUCUAUGAUUAUUAACGUUAAUAUUGUGCAAGUAGCAUUUGUAAUAUAAAGUUUUCAAAAAAGGAAGAUAAUUUUAUUUACUGGAGACUUAUUUUGCCAUUUUCAACUUGGAAGCCCAGGACUCAAACAAAAGUAUUGUUUGAAAACUGUUGGGGUUGAUUAUUACUUAUGCCGGAAGUUUCAAAAAAAAUUUUUAGAAAAAAAGAAAGCUGUCUUGUUCUAAUAAUUUGAAAUUUUAACAGUUAAAUUAUUGCUAAAUUUGCAUAAGAUUUGCUCUGUAAGACAAUACUUUUUAUAAUUGUUAACAUGUAGUUGUUUUACUUAUUUGUGCAUACUAGGUUAAUAUAUACAUAGUCAUAUUAAUAUAUGUUUGUAUGUAUACAUACUUAAAUAUAAAUUUUAUUUUUUAAAUGCACGAUUUAAGAUUUUGUCAUAAAUUGUUAUAAAUUGUUUUGUGGAGUUUAUGCAUUUUGUAAAUUUGAUGGUGGCAGAUGGUGUACAUGUGAGUUAAUUGAAUAGAUCUUUCAUAGUCUGGCACUUUUUAUGCUUUUAGAAUUUGGAGAAGUUAGUCUUUACUGAUGAAUAGAGAGCUAUCGUACUUUAGAAACUAUUGAGCAAACAUAAAAUUUUAAGAACAACUUAUUUUUAUCCUAUGGAUUUUCCUAUUAUAUUUAAACUUGCUCUUUUAGUUUGUUUUUAGAGCUCUCCUCAAGAAACAUACUCUUUGUUUUUAACGCUCAAUCCUUUUUUAUUCUUUGUAGAAACUAGUGGUCUCCUAUUAAGUAAAUAGAUGUGGGUCUCAUUAGAGGGAUCCAUUCUAAAACAGAAGAGGACAACACUCAGGGAGGGCUGCAAUGAGACAGAGAAUCCUGAGAUUGUUCCUCAUGUGCAGAUCUUCACCUGGGGCUGCAGAAGACUGUACAGCUAUAGACAAAAUAAUGAUAAGGUACAGAUGUCGUGGAAAGCCAGAACAUAGGAGUGAAUCCAUCCUACAGUCUGAAGGCGGAAACAAAGCCAUAAAUGGGGUUGGGGGAGAAACCCUGUGGUAAGAAUCUGUAGAGAUGAGGAAAAAAUUGUAGGAUUUAAGGUAGGUUAGGAACUGGCAGUUCAGAGCAAUGCCAGGGUAUUAGAAACUCACUCUCGUGUCAUCUAAGUUUCCCAAUAUAGGAUUGAGUGGACCUCAUCAUAUUAGCCACAUUCAAGGAAUAUAUGUAUGUUAUAGAAGUCAAUGGUUACAUUAAAAUAUUAAGUUUGAACACAAGUUCUAAUUUAUUUUUAUCAUUAUUUCUUAAUAGCAAUUAAUUCUUUGGGGCUUCAAUUACUGACUGUAUUCCAAACGGUUACCAACAGUUCACUUCUUUUAUUGCAGAACUUACACCAUUUCCAAAUAACCAAUGUAAAUUUUUACCUCGGAUAUUAUUUUGUUACCCGCAAACAACAAAUGUGAAUUUAGAUUUAUCAUCUUCGUCGGGGACUGAAUUUCCCCUGUAAUAUUGUUUUUUGUUGAUUUGUUUGUUUUGUAGUGGCAUCCCCUGCCCCUAUGUACCUAUGUUUGAUUUAUCUUUUAUUUCCUUCUUUUAUACUUAAACCUUAAGGUGGAUUGGAAAGUUGAUAUCAGUGACACAAAGUUUAGUUGAUUGGGUACUUUACAUUUCUACUUGACUUUGUACAUUUCUGAUUUAUAUGAACAACAAGCAACUCAGACUAAGCCUCCUUCAUUGCCCUAAGAGGUCUACUAUAUUUCUAGUGAUUUUACCUAGGGGAUCUAUACAUGUACUAACAGUAGAAAUUAGAGGUGCAACACUACUGGCCAGAAUAUAGCAACAUCCUAAGUACAUUAAUAAUGUGUAAAGUGCCCAGCAUGUAAGGCACAAAUAAAAAUAGGGAAUGUCAUUUUAUUAAAUUAUCAGAAGUUAUGGGUCACAUUCAAACAGAAAUAUUCUAAGAAAUUCAAUUCUAAGAAAUUCAACUUACUUUUAAUGUCAAUGUUUCUGAAAUUGGUAAACAUCAUUGACGUCAAAAAGCCUUCUAUGCAUGAAAUAAAUUAUACUUGUCAUUUCUGAGCUUAUGGUAACAUGGUCAAGAAUUAAAGGUAUAUUCAUCUGACUUCUGUUUCAUCAGGCUGCUAUUUGAGAAGGGUUAUUUGCCUUAGUACCAUCAGCAGUGGUUGAAUUUUAUAUUUGGUUCUGCAUUUGUCAUUUAAAAUGUCCACAAAAAGAUAACCCCCUUAAGGAGCAUUAGAACUAGAAGUUACUGUGAACCUAGACGAUCGCCUGUUUUUUGCCAUCUAGCAUAAUGAAGGUCGUAGUAUUGCCAAAGUUUUUCGAAUUCACUGUAGUUUUUUCAAAACUAGAUAAAAACUCUGACCAAUUUUUGAGUCCUGGGGGACUAUCACUUCAGCCAUAAACACAAACAAGUUAACUAGAAUUUAACGAAAUAGUAAAUGGAGAAAAAAAUUCUAGAAUUACCUGAUUUGUUUCUAAAUUAUACUGUUGCUCCUAAAAAUGUUAAGAAAUUAGGGUCGUGAGCACUGUUGGUCACUAUGAUGAUAUGCUUACCCACUGAUGGUCAAAAUUUAUCAGAAGAAUUUUUAGAUUUGGACUAUGUCAUGGCUUAGAUGCUGAUACUGAUGAAUAAAGUGACAUGCAAUUUUAUGGAUAAAUGAAUGUUACUGUUAAGUAGUUUUUAAAUAUGUACAUUUUAAUAUAAUGUAUUUCCUCAAAAUGCUAUUCUCAAUUUGAUGAUAUGCCUUGAAAAUCAAUACUGUUUUAGGAAGAAGGAAAUGUGGUAAAUUAAUGGUGUCAUUAGAAGAACGGAGGUUGCCAUAGAACCUCAUUUGCUUUACUCUUAGGAUGUAACUUUUAAAUUUAUUCUUAUUUGAAUUUUCUUAUCUUCCAUACUGAACAGGAAGCUUAUUGAAUGAACAAACCAUGAGUACAAUUAGCAUAUACCUAAAUUGAUUUGCAGUGAAAAGGUGCUUCAUAAAUUCUUGUUUGCCUGAAGAAAUUAGGAGGCAAAGGAGCAUCAAAACAAAAGGGAAAAUAAGAAUUAAAGUGAGAUGCUGUAUCAGAGGCCAAGUAAAGAUGCUGGUCUGCCUAAUCUGACUUUCUGACACUGAGAGGCAAACCUCCAAAAUUUCCACCUAUCUACAUACAUUCAUUCACUCACUCACCCAGUCUCUAUACAUUAGGAAGUCAUUGCUUUAUGUUAACCCUUGGUUUUGAAAAAGAAUGCAAAAUUAAAUGAAGAAUAAACUCUGUUUAAAAGGGAGGGUUUGUUUGACAGGCAUAUGUAUAAACACUGGAAAUUAUGAGAGUACAGAGGGUUUCCAAUUUUCCACAUACAGAAAGAGUACUAAAAAAUGGUGGUGUGUUCAGAGUAAUGGCAAACUUAAUUUAAUUUCAUGCCUUCAAGCAAUAUUACUUUAUUUAUUGAGAAUUUUAACACAAAGCAAUCAUUUGUAUAUCACGGAUACCCAGAAAGAAUAAAUAUUGUGGUUCUAAUUCCUACACUUUGAUUUAUUAGUCUUUAGUUUAUUUGAAUGUCAUGUCACAGAGUACAGCUAAUAAAAGCAUGAACAUUUGUCUUUGAGCAAGUUUGAUCUGAGGUGAGUAACAUUAAACAAUAGCCUAUUGACAAGCAAUUAAACACCACUUCUUUUCUUAGGAGUGUUUUGAAUUACAUUUGUUCUAACUAGUGGCAGCAUCUUUUGUGUUUAGAAUUCCAAUAUAAUCUUAGAUGAGAAGAAUCUUUUAAUUAGAUUUUCAAUAGAAUCGGCCAAGACCCACUGCUCACCAUCUUGACUCUUUGUCUUCAUUGAUUUGGACCAAAACAAAACAAAGAUAAAUAGCAAAAUUCAUUAUCAAUGUUUAUUUCAACUGUCUAUUGUCAUUUCCUCAGGGUAUACAACACAGUUUUCCGCAGACAGAAUGCUGUGUUUCUUACUUUUAGCUUUAGAGCUGUAUAUUCAACAAUUCUGUGUCAUGGAAGAACCUAGCUGAGGCAAAAAAAAGAAAAAGGUAAUUUUCUUCUUCCAUUUACACGUAAAAUGUUUAUUUGAAGAAUAAGAAAUAAGCAAAGAGACAGGAGAAGGAAAUUGUGUUUCUUUCAGCAAGUAAAAAGAAAGGCAAAACCCAAAAUAAAUAAUAUGUAAUUAUUUUUUAUCUGACUAUUUUUUGGCAUUUGUUUCUGCAUUUCUAAAUAAUGGAACUAUAAUACAUUUUCACUAUUGGUCAAUUUUAGGUAUCAUUUACUUACUACCUAUAAUAAAAGUUAAAAUUGUAGCUAUGAAAGGACCCCUUUAAUGCUAAAAAUAUCACAGGAAAUAUUUGCAUUACCUAAGUCAAUACGUAAGUCAGCCAGGAAGAACAUUUACAAGACAAAGUUGAUCAUGAUACUCUCUUGUAAGUGAAGAUGCUAUUAUUUUAUAACCUAGAUGUGAGGAUCUGAAAGUUGUUAAAUAAAGGCUCCAUAUGAGCUCUUGUACUCUGUAAAAUGUCCUCUUAAGUUAGCUUUAGCUAAACUAACAUACUGCCAGGGAACAGUGUUAAUGUGUUUAAUUACCAAGCUCUUUCCAAGAAAGCCUUGUCACUUGUUCACUGGUCUUAUUGCCACUUUCUGUCUUCACUCUACUUCUACCUUUCCACAAACACAUCAGUACAGAUAUUUGCAUGUUUUGCACUUCUCCACAGUUUGUACUAGUUUCUAGAAGAAAUUUUUUACUGUCAAUUAAGGCAAUGCUUUAUUCACAUGUGGCUGCCACUAGAGAAAUGUCUUAAAUUAACAAAGAAAUAAAUCCAUUAAAAAAAAUGUUUCUCUGUUGCCUGUGCCUUUUGUGAAACCCCAAUUCACAUGCUCACUAACUUUUAAAAUCAUAUAAAAUUUUAAGAGCAAAAGAAUUUUAUUACAGUGUGAUGCAGGGUUAACCGUUUUGAAAUGAUACUUAUACUGCCUAAAUUAUACCUGGUCAUCCAAGUAGAAACUAACAAUGAUUGGGUAAUAAACAGAUGGAAACCAGGUUGCUAAGGAAAAGGAACAGGAAAUGAACUCCCUAAUUAGAUAACAAAGGUUUUGUCUACAUAAUGCCAAAAUAACUAAUUUAAUAUUUUGAAUCAGUUAGAUUGGGUUUUAUCAUGUAAGCAAAACAGAGAACUGAUUCCCUGAUGCUUUCGUUCUAUCUUCAGUUGUUUGUGGCAUUAUAGAGACAACACUUACGUAUGUUUCAAGCUACUUUACCUUUGUAUUUCAGGCCACAUUUCCUAGGGAGACUGUCUAAGGGAAAAUGAUUUUCUCUUUAGUUAUGAGACAAAGCCUAUACCUACAAAUUAGUUUGAUCACUUUGGUUGAGUUUACUAGUAAAGAGCCCUCCUAAAUAGUUUACAUGAUAUGUGUCUACACGUGUGUAUCUGAUUUGCCAAAAUUGAAAUAUUUUGUACAUGGCAAAUACGUUCUUUAAAUGUGUAAGCAAAUAGGUUUAUUUUAGUCAACAAUUGAUGACAGGAUAGAAAAAUAACCAGAAAUGUGGAUCCAGCUCUUAUCAUAGAAAAUUUGUACUCCUGUAGAUUCCAUGACAUCCUCACCUCCUGGUUUAUCUUUGACCUUUCUUUUGGAAUUUCUAAGGGUAGGCAUUGAAGUCUUCCAUUAGUCCUUGAAAACUCAGUCAUUACUCCUUUAAGUAUUGUCUCCCCUUUAUUAUCUCUCUCUCUCUCUCCUUCUGGGACUCCGAUUAGUUACAUACUAGGCCUCCCGACAUGUUCUCCCAGUCUCUUAGCCUCUUUCUCAUAUUUUCUAUCUCCUUAUCCCUCUAUGCUACAUUCUGAUUAAUUUCCUCAGAUGUAUCUUCGAGGUAAUUAGUUUUUUUUUCAUCCAUAUUGGUUGAAUCUACCAUUAAAUCUAUUUAUUCAGGAUUAUUUAUAAUUUUUAGUUUUUAUUUUUAUCUAAUUAAUAAGUGUGAAUUAAAAAAUCAAAUGAUUCUACAAACUAUGCAAUUCUUAGAACCUCUCUCCUUUUAUUUCUUCAUCCUGAGAAAUAAUUUUUUUGUUCUUUUAUCUGAUUAUUUUGGCGUUUGUCUCAGCAUUUCUAAAUAAUAGGACUAUAAUACAUUUUUAUUAUUGGUCAGUUUUAGGUAUCAUUUACUGACUUCCUAUAAUAACAGUUAAAAUUUAGUUAUUAAAGUAUCAUUUUAAUGUGGAAACUCAUAAACUUCAGUUGUGGGCACUAUUCUGAAAUUAUUUAAAUGAUUACUUCCUCUCAAUUUUCUCUGUUCUCUCUUUUUAGAACUUCCAUCUGGAAGUUAUAUCUCCAGCAUUCAUUUUCUAAUACUUUUUACACUUAUUAUUUUUUGCUUUACUUUCUGGAACAUUUUCUUGACUCUAUCUUUUAGCACUUCUCCAAAGUUUUUCAUUACUGCUAUUAUAUUUUUAAUUACUGAGAUCUUUUUAUUCCCUUAAGUAUUCCUUUUUAUAGCACUGUGUUCUUACUUUAUGGUUUGCCAUCUUUCCUUUUUUCUUUAAGGAUACUAAUUGUUGUAUUAAAGAGUUUUAUUUCCAUGUAUCCUCUCUACAGCCUGCAAAGCACUUGUUCUUAUACGUUUUCUUUCAUCUCUAUAUCUCUUGUUAGAGGUUUCCCCUAGAUGUGUGCUCAUUUGUUGUUGUCUGCACAUGAUUAAGAGUAGUGGAAUCCUCUGAGGCCUGUUGACAAUAAGCCUCAUUGUAGGAUGAUGUGGCUGGAGCUUUCAUUUGGCAAACUUCUGAUAUCAGAAUCUUAGGUCUUUCAUUUGAGGCUGUCAUAUUUCCACAUUUGUCUGGAGAGUAAAGACCUAAUUGACAGCAUUCUUAGAGCCAGUUAGGGUAAGAGAGGUAGAGUUUUUGGUGGGGGAGUUAGAAGGGGCUUCUUCACUUUGUUGCUUAUUUCCUUUGCUGUGCAGAAGCUUUUUAACUCAAUGCGAUCCCAUUUAUCCUUUUUUCUUUGGCUGCCUAUGCUUGUGGGUAUUGCUCAAGAAAUUUUUGCCCAAUGUCUUGAAUAUUUUCUCCAUUGUUUUCUUGUAAUAAUUUCAUAGUCUGAGGUCUUAGAUUUAAGUCUUUAACUCAUUUUUGAUUUGACUUUUGUAUAUGGUAAGAAAUAGGGGUCUAGCUUCAUUCUUUUAAAUGUGGAUGUCCCGUUUUCCCAGCACCAUUUAUUGAAAAUACUGUUCUUUCUCCAGUAUAUGUUCCUGGCAACUUUGUCAGAAAGGAGUUCACUGUAGAUGUAUGGAUUUGUUUCUGGGAUCUCUGUUCUAUUUCAUUGGUCUAUGUGUGUAUUUUAUGCCAGUAACAAGCUGUUUUAGUUAUAAUAGAUAGCUCUGUAUUAAAAUUUGAAGCCAGGUAAUAUGAUUCCUCCAGUUUUGUUCUUUUUCCAGCUUUGGUUAUUCUGAGUCUUUUGUGGCUCCAUAUAAAAUUUAAGAUUGUUUAUGUCUGUGAAGGAUGCCGUUGGUAUUUUGACAGGGAUUGAAUUGAAUCUAUAGAUUGCCUUUAGUAGUACGGACAUUUUAACAAUAUUGAAUCUUCCAAUUCAUGAACAUGGAAUAUCUUUCCAGUUUUUGUGUGUCCUCUUCAGUUUCCUGAAUUAAUGUUUUAUAGUUUUUAUUGUAGAUAUAUUUCGCUUCUUGGGUUAGGUUUAUUCCUAGGUUUUUUUUCAUCUGUAGCUAUUGCAAAUGAGAUUAAAUGGCACAUAUACACUAUGGAAUACUAUGCAGCCAUAAAAAAGAAUGAGUUCAUAUCCUUUUCAGGGACAUGGAUGGAGCUGGAAACCAUCAUUCUCAGCAAACUAACACAGGAACAGAAAACCAAACAUCGCAUGUUCUCACUCAUGAGAGUUGAACAAGGAGAACACAUGGACACAGGGAAGGUAACAUCACACACCAGGGCCUGUUGGGGGGUGGGGGCAAGGUGGGGGAAACCAUUAGGACAAAUACCUAAUGCAUGUGGGGCUUAAAACCUAGAUUACAGGUUGACAGGUGACAGGUUGACAGGUGAAACAAACCACCAUGGCACACAUAUACCUAUGUAACAAACCUACACAUUCUGCGCAUGUAUCCCAGAACUUAGAGUAAAGUAAAAAAAAAAAAAAAAAGAUUUAAAAAUUAUCUAGCAUUGUAGGUUGCUUUCAAGUCGGAGGAUCAAUCAUGAUAUCUAACCAGUUAAUUAUUUUCUUACCUUUGCUGUUUUCUCUUAAAGAUAUGAGAUGUAAAGAUGCCAGUUUUCCUUUCUCUUAUUGUUUUCUCCCCUUUCCAGGAAUAUUAUCCAUAUCAAUAAGCUUUCCAAGUAUAUAUGUUCAUAAGGACUUCCAGUUAUGUGUCUGUAGCUCGGAUCUUGUAAUUCAGCUCCAGUCCAUCUCUUCCAGGGUGUCCAGGACAUUUUUAUUUAGUCCUCUUAAUAACAUCAAACAGGAGAAGAUUUUGUGUUGAUGCUAUUGUUUAUUGUCUUGUAUUUAUUUUUUAUUUUUCCCAGAAAGAGUUCCUCUUUCUGCGUUCCUUGUCUCGGAUAAUCUACCCAGUUUCAAAAACCAGACUCACUGUAGGCCUAGUGAAUUUUACUUUUUCCUUCAAUAUCCACAUUCAAUUAAUCACUAAAUCCUGAUGAUUCUACCUUCUUAUUAGCCCUCCUUUCUUUUGCUUAUCUCUCCAUUUCUUUAGCCACAUUUUGAAAAGCCAAUUAAAUUUUAUUAACUGCCUUUCCUUUUCUUAUCUAAAUUUUCACCAUCUCUUCCUUCAUGAAGCUGACAGGUGCAAACUUUAUAAAGUACGUACUUAGUAUUCUUUUUUUUUAAAUUAUUAAAGGCUUUCCUGUGGCUUCCAAUUACCUUCAAAGAAAACCCUGCCUUUUUUUUUAGAAUGGUACUCAAAAUACUCUUUAAUGUGGCUUUGACAUUUUAGUCUCAUAUUCUUAAAAUAUAGAUGUUCUAAGUUCUAGUGAUAGUAAACCAUCUACAUUUUUUCAUAUCCGCAUCUUUGUUCACACAUUUGCAUGCUUCUGUAUGCCCCCCUACCCAUACAACUCUUGGCAUUCCUUGACAAGGUUCUUCCUCUUCUUUCUGCUGCUACUGAACUGUGUUAUGUUCCUCUAUUGAUUCAGCUAUUGCACUGUAAUUGUUUGCUUAAAAUUUUUCCUCAUCUAUUCAAAUACAAACUACUUGGACUAUACCUUUUUUUUCCUUUAUUUUUUUUCUCAUGAAGUUCCUGACACAUAGCAGGCACUCAAUAAAUUUUGAAUUUAUGAAUGAAUGAAUUUAUUAGAAAGUUUGGAACAGAACUAUGUCUCCAGACUUUUCAUUUUGCUUUUAACUGUGUAAUGUGAACCAAAUUUAAUAAAAAAGAAUCACUUUUUUAUAGAAAUGCUUUCCAUGUCCUAAAAAUUACAAAGCUCUUUUGGAAAGUUCUGAUCUCACAAUAUCAUAACCUCAUGGCUGGAAGGGAGCCUAGAUAGGGCAUUUAACCCUCCCUUCUAACCAGACUGGGAGUUACUGCUCAAUUUUUCUGACAUGUGUUUUUCCAGAUUGUAUUUGGAUAACUUCAGGCAUUGUGAAAAUGAGGAAACCAUGGAGCUUGUUCUUUCUAUCUUUGUAAAAUGAUGACCAUGCAAAAGGUCUCUUUUUACACUAAAUCUGAAUCUCUCUCUACAAGUUUCACACACUGACCUUAGGAAAACCCCAAAGGCAAAACACAACACAUUUAUGACCUCUUCCAUAAAACAAUCUUCAAGAAUUUGAAGACAGGUUAUGUUCCUUACCAAGUCUUCUCUAUCUCAGCUUAAAAUAUACAAAAUGCUUUCAAUUUCCUUCAUAGCAUCUCCUUAUGCUUUUCCCCACUACCUCUCUUUUUGAAUCUACAAGGACACUCUAUUAAAUGGAACUCAAGCUUCUUGGCUGAUUUAAAUGGAAUUAACUGGAUUCUCACAUUACUAUUUCUAAAUUAGGUUUUAUUAUGAUAAAAGCUCAUUCUCUCUAUAUUUAUCAUUAUUGUUAUUUUUAUCCUAUAAAACUAAUUACCUUAUUAUUAUAUAAAUUAAAACAACAUAGAGUUGUAAACAUAAUGUAUGUGCUUCAUAAUUCUAGCUUCUGGGCAUUACCAUUGUUAAUAGUUUUGUAUAUGAUCAUAUACCACAUGACAACAAUUUUGUCAAAGAAGGACUGCAUAUACUAUGGUGAUCUCAUAAGAUUAUAAUGGAGCUGAAAAAUUUCCAUCACCUAGUGAGGUCGUGGUCAUCAUAAUAUUGUAGCGAAAUGCAUUAUUUACAUAUUUGUGGUGAUGCUACUGUAAGCAAACCUACUGUAUAGCCAGUUAUAAAGUCCUGGCACAUGCAAUUAUGUACAUUACAUUAUACUUGAUAAUGAUAAUAAAUCACUAAGAUAAUGGUUUAUGUAUUUACUAUACUAUCUGUUAUUAUUUUAGAGUGCAUGCCUACUUAUAAAAAUGUUAACUGUAAAACAUCCUCAGGUAGGUCCUUUUAGGAGGUCUUGUUAUCAUAGGAGAUGACGGUUCCAUUUGUGUUAUUGCCCCUGAAGACAAUCAGGACAAGAUGUGGAGGUGGAAGACAGUGAUGUUAAUGCUCCUGACACCUGGGCAACUUCCAGUCCUGCAAGCUCUGUUCAUGGCUUGAAAGAAAAGGUCAAGUGUGGUGGCUCAUACCUGUAAUCCCAACAUGUUGGGGGGCAGAGGCGAGAGGACCACUUGAGACCAGGAGUUUGAGACCAGCCUGGGCAACAUAGCAAGGACCUGUGCCUACAAAGAAACAAAAUAAAUAAAUGAAUAAAAAGACUAUUCAAAUGAUGGAUAGUUUGGUUUUAAAAUAUGAAAAGAACCCAUAGAAACUCAAAUGAAGAAAGAGAAUCUCAGGAAACAAAGUUUAGCUUGGCAAUAAUUGAACCAAAAUCACUGGGGAUCCAUUCUUUCUCUUUUAUUUUGUAGAUGAGUUAUCUUGCAUAUAUUUCUGCAUAUUGCUUUACUUUUCUUUGCUGCAGCCUCACUUCCAACAUGAAAAUCUUAGAAUUGGCACCCUUAUAAUAUUGGUUUCCACAUAGUAUGUGGUUAAAAUGUCAUGAACUCUGACAUUAAUUAUCUGUUGUAUCUCCAGAGACUAAAUCAGUUUAUUUGAUUCUGUUUUUUAAAAUUAAUUUGUUUGUACAGUUUAUGGAGGUAUAAUUGACAUUCUAUAAAUGGCUAAUAUCUCAUAGUACAAUUUGGUAAAACAUAAUCUAUUUGUACCCCAGUAAAACCACCACCAUAAUGGAGAUAAUGAAUAUGUGCAUUAUCCUCAAAGCUUUCCUCAUGCCCUUUUAUAACCUCUUGCUUCCAGCUCUCACCUCUCUGGAUUCGUCUCUGGCAAUCUUUAUCUGCUCUCACGAUGCAUGACUGAAUUUUAUAUAAGUGAAAUCAUAUGUUUGCCUAAUUUCUUUCAUUCAUUUAACUAUUUUAACAUUCACCCAUAUAAAUGUGUAUAUCAUUAUUUAAUGCCUUUUUAACUGCUGAGAAAUACUGUAUUUUAUAGAUAUACCUCAAUUUGUUUAUCCAUUCACAUUUAGGCAAUUGGACAUUUGGGACAUUUAGGUUGUUUCUAGUUUCGAGUCUUUAAAGAUGAUGUUAAUGAUGUUACUGUGAGCAUUUAUGUACAAGUCCAUGUAUAAACAUAUGUGUUUUAAUUUGAUAAACACCUAAAAAUGGGAUGACAGAGUCAAAUGGUAGGCUUAUGUUUAACUUCUUAAGAAACUACCACAUUUUUGUUCAAAAGCAACUAUCAGAUUUUACAUUCCUGCCUGCAGUAAAUGAGAGUUCUAGUUUUUUGAUGUUUACAAUACUUGGUAAGGUCAGUCUUAAAAUUUUAGUCACUCUUACUGGUGUGUGUACUAGUAUUUCUGUGUGUUUUUUAACUUGUGAUGUUCAGAAACUGUUUCUAUGGUGAUUUACUAUGUGUACAUCUUUAUUAAAAUGGAUCUGUUCACA